rnacentral:rRNA from 1 species
UAAAGCUAAUAAGGGCAUAUGGUGGAUGCCUUGGCACCAAGCGCCGAAGAAGGACGUGACAAGCUGCGAUAAGCUACGGUGAGCUGCAAAUAAGCUUUGACCCGUAGAUCUCCGAAUGAGGAAACUCACUUCCGGUAAUGCGGAAGUAUCCAUGUAUGAAUAUAUAGUACAUGUGAAGGGAACCCGGGGAACUGAAACAUCUAAGUACCCGGAGGAAAAGAAAGUAAAUAAACGAUUUCGUAAGUAGUGGUGAGCGAACGCGAAAGAGCCCAAACCGGAGAAAUUUAUUUCGAUGGGGUUCGGACCUGCAUAAUUCAAAAAAUCGUUAGUCGAACAUAGUUGGAAAACUAGGCGACACAGAGUAAUAGCCUCGUAGGCGAAAACGAUUUCAGAUGGCGGGUAUCCAGAGUAGCACAGGACACGUGUAAUCCGGUGUGAACAUGUGAGGACCAUCUCAUAAGGCUAAAUACGACUUGGUGACCGAUAGCGUAUAGUACCGUGAGGGAAAGGUGAAAAGGACCCCGGGAGGGGAGUGAAAGAGAACCUGAAACCAUAUGCUUACAAGCAGACACAGCACAACUUAAUGUGUGGUGUCGUACUUUUUGUAGAACGGGCCGGCGAGUUACGUUGCGUAGCGAGGUUAAGUGAUUAAGUCACGGAGCCGAAGCGAAAGCGAGUCUGAAACUGGCGACAUAGUUGCGUGACGUAGACCCGAAACUGGAUGACCUAACCAUGAGCAGGUUGAAGCAGUGGUAAGACACUGUGGAGGACCGAACCCACGUUCGUUGAAAAGACCGGGGAUGACUUGUGGUUAGCGGAGAAAUUCCAAUCGAAUCCAGAUAUAGCUGGUUCUCCUCGAAAUAGCUUUAGGGCUAGCCUCUGAAUAGAUUACUGAUGGUAGAGCACUGAAUGGGCUAGGGGGCUUCACAGCUUACUGAACCUUAUCAAACUUCGAAUGUCAGAUAAUUGUUUUCAGGGAGUCAGACAGCGUGAGAUAAGUUUCGUUGUCAAAAGGGAAACAGCCCAGAUCUACAACUAAGGUCCCUAAGUACAAGUUAAGUGGUAAAGGAUGUGUCAAUUCCAAAACAACCAGGAUGUUGGCUUAGAAGCAGCCACUCAUUUAAAGAGUGCGUAAUAGCUCACUGGUCGAGAGAGGGUGCGCCGAAAAUUACCGGGGCUAAAACUUGUCACCGAAGUUUAGGAAUGUAAUUUAUUACAUUGGUAGAGGAGCAAUCUAUGCGGGCUGAAGCGGUAUCGAAAGGGGCCGUGGACUGCAUAGAAGAGAGAAUGCCGGCAUAAGUAGCGAGAGGGAAGUGAGAAUCUUCCCCGUCGAAUGCCUAAGGUUUCCUGGGGAAGGUUUGUCCCCCCAGGGUAAGUCGGGACCUAAGCCGAGGCCGAAAGGCGUAGGUGAUGGACAGCAGGUAGAUAUUCCUGCACCACCGAGCGACGUUUAAAUGAGGCAAUGACACAGUAGGAUAGUCAAUCCGCGGAGUUGGAUUUCUGCGGCCAAAUCGUGAGGCUUGCACGUAGUGAAGUACGCGUGCUUUAAGGCUGGGCGAUGAUGGGGAGUGAAAAUUAGUAACGAAGUUGAUGAAUUCACACUGGCGAGAAAAGUUGCUAAAUAUGUUGUUAGGUGCCCGUACCGCAUACCGACACAGGUGGGCGAGGAGAAAAUCCUAAGACGGACGGGAUAACCCUUGUUAAGGAACUCUGCAAAAUGACCCCGUAACUUCGGAAGAAGGGGAGCCUACGAAAGUAGGCCGCAGUGAAGAGGCCCAAGCAACUGUUUACCAAAAACACAGGUCUCUGCAAAAUCGUAAGAUGAUGUAUAGGGGCUGACGCCUGCCCAGUGCUGGAAGGUUAAGGGGAUGUGUUAGCGCAAGCGAAGCACGGAACUUAAGCCCCAGUGAACGGCGGCCGUAACUAUAACGGUCCUAAGGUAGCGAAAUUCCUUGUCAGGUAAGUUCUGACCCGCACGAAUGGCGUAAUGAUUUGGGCGCUGUCUCAACAGGGGACCCGGCGAAAUUGUAUUAUACGUGAAGAUGCGUAUUACCCGCGACUGGACGGAAAGACCCCGUAGAGCUUUACUGUAGCUUGGUAUUGAAGUUCGGUGAUUUAUGUACAGGAUAGGUGGGAGACUUGGAAACAGGGGCGUCAGCUUCUGCGGAGUCACCCUUGGGAUACCACCCUUGAAUCAUUGGACCUCUAACACUAGACCGUAAUCCGGCUGGUGGACAGUGCCAGGUGGGCAGUUUGACUGGGGCGGUCGCCUCCCAAAAUGUAACGGAGGCGUUCUAAGGUUCCCUCAGGAUGGUUGGAAAUCAUCCAAAGAGCGUAAAGGUAGAAGGGAGCUUAACUGCGAGACAGACAUGUCGAGCAGAUACGAAAGUAGGACUUAGUGACCCGGCGGUAGAGUAUGGAAUUGCCGUCGAUUAACGGAUAAAAGUUACCUCGGGGAUAACAGGCUGAUCUCCCCCAAGAGUUCACAUCGACGGGGAGGUUUGGCACCUCGAUGUCGGCUCGUCACAUCCUGGGGCUGUAGUCGGUCCCAAGGGUUCGGCUGUUCGCCGAUUAAAGUGGCACGCGAGCUGGGUUCAGAACGUCGUGAGACAGUUCGGUCCCUAUCCAUCGUGGGCGUAGGAUAUUUGCGAGGCUCUGCUCCUAGUACGAGAGGACCGGAGUGGACGUACCUAUGGUGCAUCUGUUGUCACGCCAGUGGCAUAGCAGGGUAGCGAUGUACGGAUUGGAUAAACGCUGAAAGCAUCUAAGCGUGAAACCAGCCUCAAGAUAAGAUAUCCCUUUGUUUAUCAAGUAAGACCCCUUGUAGACCACAAGGUUGAUAGGUCGGGUGUGUAAGUGCAGUAAUGCAUUAAGCUGACCGAUACUAAUAGGUCGAGGGCUUCAAUCA